rnacentral:rRNA from 1 species
AUGAUGCCGCCCGAGAUUUGCGGUGCCCGUGUCGAGGCGAUCCCGAGGCGAUCGUCAUGGAAGUUUGAAUCGGCAGAUCCGGUUAAUGAUCCACGAGAAAUUGAGAGGAAAGAGAAGAGAUUUGUUCGCCCAUGGAGUGCCCAGGAGGAUUCAGAUCCACUGGGAUUGCGGGAGAAGUGGACCAAGACGAGGGAGUCGGUACGCAGGUACGCUGAAAAGAGGAAGGCAUCCUUGAAUCAUCGACAGGAAAGCGGAGGAAAUCAUUCGGUUAACCCGAACGAGGGAUUUGACAGGAUUCGAGGCAAAGUCCAGCAAAUGAGGUCUGAUCUGCAGUACAAGUUUAUGGCAGUAGAUCAUAAGAGAGAGGAAAGAGAUCACGAGCUUUCCCAUAUAGCAGAUCCGCCAGAUAAAGGAGGAGGUAUGCUGCCGUAUAAGGAGGAUCCAAAUAUGCUUGCAACGGAAGACAAUCACGUCGUGUCCGAGUCUGUUGAUCUGAUGCCAUCAAACGAGUGGAACCCAUGGGCUAUUAAGAGGAGGAUCGAGGGAUUGAGGCACCCACCUGAGGCCAUUCAAUCCCCCACCAUAGACCACCCAACAACUAUGGCGGACAAAUCCCACCGUGAGGGCAAGGAGCCUAUGGAGCAAUCCGGCAAGCUGGAGGUGAUCGGCAAGAGCAAGCUGGUCUCAAGGCCGCUGUUACGUGGUGGUUCUUCGAGGGGGAGCGGUGAUCCGUACCGCACCCCCUCGGGUCAAGGAGGAGCGGCACCUCAAGGUUCCGGGAUGGCAGGCAGAGGCGUUGUCACACCUGCCUUCCCGGUCGCCCUGGAGAAGAAGGCUCCAAAUGUGGUGCAACUGAACCUGUCCAAGGAGAGGGCGGCCAUGCGCACGAGAUGGAUAGCUGUCGGGCUGUUCUUCUCGGUGCAGCUGUUCAGCAUUGGGGGACUGUUCAAGGAGCUCAAGAGCAAGUGGGGUCUGAGGGGGCGACUCAUCCAUCGCCUCUAA